rnacentral:rRNA from 1 species
AUUGAACGCUGGCGGCAGGCCUAACACAUGCAAGUCGAACGAGUGGCGGACGGGUGAGUAAUGUCUGGGAAACUGCCUGAUGGAGGGGGAUAACUACUGGAAACGGUAGCUAAUACCGCAUACCAUCAGAUGUGCCCAGAUGGGAUUAGCUAGUUGGUGGGGUAACGGCUCACCAAGGCGACGAUCCCUAGCUGGUCUGAGAGGAUGACCAGCAAAACUGGAACUAGGAAAGGGGCCAGACUCCUACGGGAGGCAGCAGUGGGGAAUAUUGCACAAUGGGCGCAAGCCGGAGGCAGCCAUGCGGCGUGUAUGAAGAAGGCCUUCGGGUUGUAAAGUACUUUAAGCGGGGAGGCGUUACCGGAAGAAGAAGCACGGGCUAACUCCGUGCCAGCAGCCGCGGUAAUA